GACGAACGCUGGCGGCGUGCUUAACACAUGCAAGUCGAACGAAGAGCGACGGAAGCUUGCUUCUAUCAAUCUUAGUGGCGAACGGGUGAGUAACGCGUAAUCAACCUGCCCUUCAGAGGGGGGACAACAGUUGGAAACGACUGCUAAUACCGCAUACGAUCUAAUCUCGGCAUCGAGGAUGGAUGAAAGGUGGCCUCUACAUGUAAGCUAUCACUGAAGGAGGGGAUUGCGUCUGAUUAGCUAGUUGGAGGGGUAACGGCCCACCAAGCCGACGAUCUUUAGCUGGUCUGAGAGGAUGAUCAGCCACACUGGGACUGAGACACGGCCCAG
rnacentral:rRNA from 1 species